rnacentral:rRNA from 1 species
UACGUAGGGUGCAAGCGUUAAUCGGAAUUACUGGGCGUAAAGCGUGCGCAGGCGGUUAUGUAAGACAGAUGUGAAAUGCCCGGGCUCAACCUGGGAACUGCAUUUGUGACUGCAUGGCUAGAGUGUGUCAGAGGGGGGUAGAAUUCCACGUGUAGCAGUGAAAUGCGUAGAUAUGUGGAGGAAUACCAAUGGCGAAGGCAGCUCACUGGGACGGUAUUGACGCUGAGACGUGAAAGUGUGGGGAGCAAACAGG